rnacentral:rRNA from 1 species
UAGUCCACGCCGUAAACAAUGAAUACUCGAAGUGGCUGGUAUUGACCCCGGCCGUUUCCAAGCUAACGCGAUAAGUAUUCCGCCUGGGAAGUACGGUCGCAAGACUAAAACUCAAAGGAAUUGACGGGGACCCGCACAAGCGGUGGAUUAUGUGGUUUAAUUCGAAGCAACGCGCAGAACCUUACCCGGCCUUGACUUCCUACUGACCGUUCCAGGGAUGGUUCUUUCUCGCAAGAGACAGUAGAGACAGGUGCUGCAUGGCUGUCGUCAGCUCGUGUCGUGAGAUGUUCGGUUAAGUCCGGCAACGAGCGCAACCCUUAUUUUUAGUUGCCAUCAUUAAGUUGGGCACUCUAGAGAGACUGCCGGUGUCAUAAACCGGAGGAAGGUGGGGAUGACGUCGAGUCCUCAUGGCCCUUACGGCCGGGGCUACACACGUAAUACAAUGGACGGUACAGAGAGUCGCCAACCCGCGAGGGGGAGCUAAUCUCAAAAAACCGUCCUCAGUUCGGAUUGGAGUCUGCAACUCGACUCC